rnacentral:rRNA from 1 species
UACGGGGGGAGCAAGCGUUGUUCGGAUUUACUGGGCGUAAAGGGCGCGUAGGCGGUCGUGACAAGUCACUUGUGAAAUCUCCGGGCUUAACUCGGAACGGUCAAGUGAUACUGUCGGACUAGAGUACAGAAGGGGCAACUGGAAUUCUCGGUGUAGCGGUGAAAUGCGUAGAUAUCGAGAGGAACACCUGCGGCGAAGGCGGGUUGCUGGGCUGAUACUGACGCUGAGGCGACGAAAGCCAGGGGAGCGAACGGG